ensembl:lncRNA LINC00269 long intergenic non-protein coding RNA 269
AUUCUGGGGUAGAACUUGCUGUGGAGUGAGACCUCUGGAACACAAACUUAACAAAAAUUCCUGACAUGUGUUAUGAUGGAGGCAGGAGAGCCGAGUCCUGACACCCUUGGCCAGACCUUUCACCUCUCUGAGCCUUGCCCUUUCCAACUGGGCCAGGAGGGGACUGGAUUCUGCAGAGUAAAGGCCAGGCCAGCUUGCCAUCCCGUGACUCUUGUUUCCCUCAGACUUUUAUUCAUUCAAGCAGCAUGUAUUGGAUACCUACUAUACAACAAGCAUUGUUCUAGGAACCAGGGAUACAGUGGCAAAAAUGACAAGCCAUAGACCCUGCCCUCAUGAAACUUCAUGUAGAGGAGACAUACAGCAGAUCGAAUCCUAGACUCACUGUCUGAUCCGGAAGGCACUUUAAUCAUGCCUAAGAGCCUGGAGAUUUAUAAAGGAAGCUGUAACUGGGAAGAAUCCGGCCUGCUGGGAAGCUGCUUCUCCCAGGGUCUUGCUCUAUUACCCCGAGUGGAGUGGAGUGGUGCCAUCUUGGCUCAUUGCAUCGUUGACCUCCCGAGCUCAAGUGAUCCUCCCACCUCAGCCUCCCACUUUUCGGGACUACAGGCACACACCACCACAGCCAGAUGCAGCUGAAGGUUCCAUGGAUGUAUUUGGUCAGACCAUGCAUAUGACAGUCACCUCCUCACCUCUGCUCCUUGCCCUCUCACCUGGUUCCCCCUUGCCAGCCUACAUUUGAGGACUGGAUCCAAGAGCAAGACCUAACAUUUCUCCCUGUCGUAUUUACUUUGUAAGCUUCAGCCCCUCCUUCUAGUCUGUCAGGAAUGGGAAUGUUUUUGAAAACAGACUCUGAAAGCCAAUGAGAUGUGCUCCUCCUGCCCACAGUUGGACCCAGGCUCCAUAUUUGAUCAGUGAACAGCCACGUCCGCACAUGUGCCACAAGGCAUUUGUCUGCAAAUUCAUCCGGAGACCUUGACAGAUGCCUGGAGGUCAGAAAUCAGCCUCCUCUAUGCUGCCAUGUGGCCCCAGGAGCCUGAAGGAAACACCAAGUACAUCUAGAAGUUGAUGGUUGACCGAUGGGAGAGGGGGCAAGAUGCCAGUCACUCAGUCAGCCAACCUUUCCUGAAGAUUGUUGGAGGCUCCAAGUGACAUAGGGGAUAAUGCAGAGAACAUUCAGAGACAUCAUCUACUGCCUGUGCGCUCUGGAAGUUUCUAGUCUCACAAAAAGGAAGACCAGGGAGGCCCUUAAGAAAAUAUAGCAGGCUGAAUAAUAUCCCCCAAAGAUAUCAGGUCCUAAUCCCUGGAACCUGUAAAAGUUACCUGAUUUGGAAAAAUGAUCUUGGCAGAUGUGAUCAAGUUAAGGGUUUCUAAAUGCAAUCACAUAAGAGGGAGGCAGAGGAGACUUGAAACAGAUGGAAAAAGAAAAGAAAAGACCACGUGACCAUAGAGGCAGAGAUUGGAGUGAAGUGGCUACAAGCCAAGGAAUGCUGGCAGCCACAGAAGCUGGAAAAGACAAGGACCAGAUUCUCCCUUAGAGCCUCUGGAAGGAGCAUGGCCCCAUCAACACCUUGAUUUUGGCCCAGUGAUACUGGCUUUAGACGUCUAGCCUCCAGAUCCGUGAGAGAAUACAUUUUUGUUUUCUUCAGCC